GAUGAACGCUGGCGGCGUGCUUAAUACAUGCAAGUCGAGCGAACAGACCCGGCGCUUGCUCCUCUCACGUUAGCGGCACACGUGUGAGUAACACGUGUAUCACCUCCCUAUCUUACUGGUAUAACUUCGGGAAACCGGAUCUUAUACCGUAUAAUCUAUUGAACCGCAUGGUUCAAUAGUGAAAUACGGUUUUGCUGUCUCUUCUAGCUGGAUCCGCGCCGCAUUGGCUAGUUGUGAAGGUAACGGCUUACCACGGCGACGAUGCGUAGCCGACGUGAGAGAGUGAUCGGCGACACGGGAACGGAGACACGGUCAAGAGGACUACGGGAGGCAGCAGAAGGGAAUCUGAGGCAAUGGGCGAAAGCAUGACGGAGUAACGGGGCGUGAGUGACGAAGGUGUUCGGAUCGUAAAAAUGUGUUAUGAGGGAAGAACAAAUGUGGAAGUAAAUAUGCACGUCGUGACGGUAACUAAUAAGAAAGCAACGGCUAACUACGUG
rnacentral:rRNA from 1 species